AACGAACGCUGGCGGCGUGGAUUAGGCAUGCAAGUCGAACGUGAAAGGUUCCUUCGGGGACUGAGUAAAGUGGCAAACGGGUGAGUAACGCGUGGGAAACCUGCCCAUCGGUUGGGGAUAACACUCUCAACAGGGUGCUAAUACCCGAAUAGUAUCUCCGGGUCGCAUGUCCUGGAGAUGAAAGGCGGCCUCUGCUUGCAAGCUGUCACCGAUGGAUGGUCCCGCGUCCCAUUAGCUUGUUGGUAGGGUAACGGCCUACCAAGGCUGUGAUGGGUAGCCGGCCUUAGCGGGUGUCCGGCCACACUGGGACUGAGAUACGGCCCAGACUCCUACGAGGCAG
rnacentral:rRNA from 1 species